UGCCGUCAGGCAGGGACCUUAUGCUGAAACCAAGUAUCGCUCCGGAGCCUUGCGUUUUGGGAAGCGCUUGUGGAACUUGCGUGCACACGUUUGUUAAAGCACUUUCACACGCAUCGUUGCGAAGACAUCUGUUGCAGCAGUCGAAGGAACAAUGAAGCCGAUGAGAGCCCCGAUUAAAGACGGCGUCAUUUAUUCACCUUACCCGGAGUGCUCUAUUCCCUGCUCUUCUAUAUACACCGCCAUUCAGAGAUGCAUUCAAGCUUCGCCGGAUAAAAUUGCCAUUAUUGAUGACGAGGUGCAGUUAACGCGAUCUCAGUUCUUUGCGAGAAUAAAGCGCUGCGCGGCAGGUUUGCAAGCUCAGGGCAUCAAGCCGGGAGACCAUGUCUGCGUCCAUCUCGACACCAGCGUUGAAAACCUGAUUGCAAUGUUCGGAUUCGUGUUUGCUGGGGCAACACUCAUCUUAUCCUACAU